rnacentral:rRNA from 1 species
GACGGAGGAUGCAAGUGUUAUCCGGAAUCACUGGGCGUAAAGCGUCUGUAGGUGGUUUAGUAAGUCAACUGUUAAAUCUUGAAGCUCAACUUCAAAAUCGCAGUCGAAACUACUAGACUAGAGUAUAGUAGGGGUAAAGGGAAUUUCCAGUGGAGCGGUGAAAUGCGUAGAUAUUGGAAAGAACACCGAUGGCGAAGGCACUUUACUGGGCUAUUACUGACACUCAGAGACGAAAGCUAGGGUAGCAAAU